rnacentral:tRNA from 1 species
GCCCUCGUAGCUCAGCUGGUAGUAGCAACCGCCUUGUAAGCGGUAGGUCGUCCGUUCGAAUCGUGACCGAGGGCACCA